GUGGACGUAGUGCACGGUGCAUCGCCGCCUUUGAUAUUGAUGACGGCUAUUGCAACAUAUGAAGCAGCUGCCGGGGUUCGACUCCCCGUGUCUGCA